rnacentral:rRNA from 1 species
CCGGCACGGGUGAGUAACACGUAUCCAACCUGCCGUCUACUCUUGGCCAGCCUUCUGAAAGGAAGAUUAAUCCAGGAUGGCAUCAUGAGUUCACAUGUCCGCAUGAUUAAAGGUAUUUUCCGGUAGACGAUGGGGAUGCGUUCCAUUAGAUAGUAGGCGGGGUAACGGCCCACCUAGUCAACGAUGGAUAGGGGUUCUGAGAGGAAGGCCCCCCACAUUGGGACUGAGACACGGUCCAA